rnacentral:rRNA from 1 species
AGUGAACGCUGGCGGUAGGCCUAACACAUGCAAGUCGAACGGCAGCACAGUAAGAGCUUGCUCUUACGGGUGGCGAGUGGCGGACGGGUGAGGAAUACAUCGGAAUCUACUUUUUCGUGGGGGAUAACGUAGGGAAACUUACGCUAAUACCGCAUACGACCUACGGGUGAAAGCAGGGGAUCUUCGGACCUUGCGCGAUUGAAUGAGCCGAUGUCGGAUUAGCUAGUUGGCGGGGUAAAGGCCCACCAAGGCGACGAUCCGUAGCUGGUCGGAGGGGAUGAUCAGCCACACGGGAACUGAGACACGGUCCAGACUCCUACGGGAGGGAGCAGUGGGGAAUAUUGGACAAUGGGCGCAAGCCUGAUCCAGCCAUACCGCGUGGGUGAAGAAGUCCUUCGGGUUGUAAAGCCCUUUUGUUGGGAAAGAAAAGCAGCAGGUUAAUACCCCGCUGUUCUGACGGUACCCAAAGAAUAAGCACCGGCUAACUUCGU